GUGAAGACAAGUGGCUCCGAUGGCCACUUGUCACUCACCGGUGCACCGCGCGGAUCACAAGGCAAAGAGAUAUCCUCUCAUUAUUCACGUGAAAGGGACAGAGGAAGAGAAAAUGGUGUCAUCAUUAUCACCAUUAAUUGAUUUUGGAAAAGGCAACAAAAGAUUGCAUUAUUAGAAACAUUUCAAAACACAAAAUCACUUCUUUCUCAUAACUCUCUCUCAAUAUAUCAGUCCCUCCCUCAUAAACAAAGCUAACAUUGUUUUAACAUAAAAAACAAACACGUAAAGAACAAAGAAAACUGGCAGCGGUGGUCAUGGAGGUUCGCGGUGGCCGGCGAAGAACUCGCGGUGGCGCCACCGUGAAACUCGACGGAAUCCAAUUUUUUUUUACAUCUUUGUACUCAGUUUUUUCUCCUCAUCACAAAUCAGAGCACCACAGUGCAGGUAACACGAAAGUAAGGAUGGAUUCGGUAUCAGAAGGAGGUUCUCAACCUUUUUAGUCAAAGAAACCAAGGAACGGUGGCGGUUGAGAGCUCCGGCACGGUGGUUUUGGAAUUCCGGCGGUUGUUUCCGGUCAAGCUCGGUUCAGGUGAUUCUAUGGUUUGUUCUGAUUUUUGUCAGUCUGAAAAAGGUCUGAAAAAGAGAUCCCUUAUGUCAGUCUCAAUCACUCUUUAUAUAGUGUGAAAAUUAGGUUCAGAGUGAAAGUGAAUUUGUGCUGAAGUUGUGAUGAAUUUGAACCGAGAAUAUGUGGAAACAAAAAUCUGAUUUUGCUCUCUGCAGCCCAAACCGUAAAUCAUAUGUUACUCCCCUCUAUCCUUUGUUUUUUUAGUCCAAAUCUUCUUUACACUCUCUUGGCAAUGUUCUUGCGGUUCUAAAAAGGGCAAUGGACCUAAGGAUUUGAAUUUUUACUUGUUGGUGUGAAUAAAUGUUACUACACCCACCUCACCUUGUACCAUUAUCCUUUUGAAUGCUUGCAAUACUUUUGAUUUUGACUUGAACAAUUGUUUUUGUGAUUUGGAUAACAUUGAUAAUUAUUUCUCCAUUUUCUUUUCAUGUGUAUGAUGACGUGGGCGAACAUGGAGAAUUAGAACAAUCAAGAUGAACAUGAACGAAAACCAAUGAUGAAGCUUGAAAGUUGAUAAGUCACACCCAUGGAGAGCUUGUGAAGUGAUUCAAGAAAAUGACUUUGUAUCAUGGAUGUAAUUUUAAAUUGUACAUAGAACUUGAAUUCUUCAUGUAGAAACACUUGUUAUUUUUUUGAAUACCAAAGGAACCUUUGUAUCUCUACCUCUUGUAUUUGCUUGAACAACUUGAAAUUUACAUCUUUAAAAAUCUUUCCAAUCUUGAA